AUGGUUCACGCACAUUUUCUUUAUUAUGUAAACGAAACACGCACGUUACAAUCGAUUAUUAUCAUUUUAAUAAUUUAAUACCACUCGUGGCCGUGUUAUCCUUGUGUGGACUACGGGUGAACUUUAUUCAACGUAUUAAGAAAGAAUAGCUAUCAUUGUGCUAUUGAUAAUAGAGCUUAGUUUACUUUGCAGCCGAUGAAUGGAACCUUGAAUAAUAGUCCUCACGAAGGUUUUCCAACAGCCUUGUGGAGGAUUGUCAUUGUCAAAGACACGGCAUUAGUUUGAUUGUAAGACUCUUUUGAUAGACAUUAUGUUGCCUCUGACAACUGGGUCCGACGUAGAAAGUGGCGUAACAAUGCUUAUCAGCGUCUGACAGAAACGGACAAAUCGAUCGUAGCUCAUCUCGGAUUAUAGGUACUAAAGAAAGGAACUCCGUUGAGAAAGCAAAUUAGAAUCGCAGAAAAGGACAGACUGAAGACCUGUCUAGACAGUAAAUUAGAGCCCGCGUGGAACCAAGUCCGGCUUUGUCCCAAGGGGUAAUGUUUGCACAAACUUUGAACUUCGCCGAACACAAGCCGCCCAGCCACAUAUGAGUAAAUACCUCCAUUUAGGCAGAAUUUGGAAUUCAGCAAAAUAUUUUCGAUUCAAAUUGUUCGAAUUUGUGCGCGCUACGAACGUCGAUGCGGGAGAAAAUUUCAUUUGCGUGGGUAUGCCAGUACUGAAAGCAAUUUACAAAGCAAUAUUUAUUUGUGCUUAUUCUUCAUAAAGUCACAAGGAAUAUGACUGCUAUUUGCCGUCUUCCGCAACAAUAAACCAGGGGCCCGAUUCUCUUAAGUUAAUAAUGUCAAAAUCGAAUAGAAAUCGAAUCGCAAUAUGAU